UGGAAUUCUUUCCCAGUAGUUGGGGAAUAACCAGUCGAAAGAUUGGCUAAUACCGCAUACGUCGGAGACGAGAAAGCGGGGGAUCGUAAGACCUCGCGCUAUUGGGUGAGCCAAAGUCGGAUUAGCUAGUUGGUGGGGUAAUGGCCUACCAAGGCGACAAUCCGUAGCUGGUCUGAGAGGACGACCAGCCACACCGGAACUGAGACACGGUCCGGACUCCUACGGGAGGCAGCAGUGGGGAAUAUUGGACAAUGGGGGAAAACCCUCGAUUCCAGCGACGCCGCGUGUGUGAAGAAAGGCCUGCGGGUUGUAAAGCACUUUUAGUGGGGAACAAAAAGUCACGGAUUAAUACUUUCUGAUCUUGAUUUAACUCACAGAAAAAGCACCGGCUAACUCUGUGCCAGCAGCCGCGGUAAUACAGAGGGUGCGAGCGUUAAUCGGAAUUACUGGGCGUAAAGCGCGUGUAGGCGGGCUUUUUAAGUCAGGGGUGAAAUGCCAAGGCUCAACCUUGGAACUGCCUUUGAUACUGGAAGUCUUGAGUCCGGG
rnacentral:rRNA from 1 species